GAUCCACCACCCCUGACCUGCUCCAGGGUCACACACACCUCCUCCAGCUGAUGAGGGUGCCAGUCCCUCCACCAGCACAUUGCCAUUUUUUUCACAGUGACAGACUGUGGGCCCUGGGCACCUGCCAUGCUAAGAGCAGGAGUGAUGAAGGAAGACAGAGGCCCUGCAUCUGGCAGAGCUGAGCAGCUUUGCUUCAGCAAGGUACAGCUUCUUUCAGGACCAAAAAAUCCUCAAAUGGAGCCUGAAACUCACAAGAUUCAAUGGAUGGCAAGACUGAAAAUCGCAUUCUUUCUAGGUUUCUUUGAGACGCCAGCUGACGUUCGUGUUGGAAUCUAUCUCACAUUGUCCGGCAGUGAUCCAUGCCCAUGGCGGCCGUUCCUCCUGCUUUAUGGUUUCUCCCAGCUCCAUGGGAUACACAGCUGCAGAUUUCUGUGCCA